rnacentral:rRNA from 1 species
GACGAACGCUGGCGGCGUGCUUAACACAUGCAAGUCGAACGGUAAGGCCCUUCGGGGUACACGAGUGGCGAACGGGUGAGUAACACGUGGGUGAUCUGCCCUGCACUUCGGGAUAAGCCUGGGAAACUGGGUCUAAUACCGGAUAGGACUCCUGGCUUCAUGGUUGGGGGUGGAAAGCUUUUGCGGUGUGGGAUGGGCCCGCGGCCUAUCAGCUUGUUGGUGGGGUAAUGGCCUACCAAGGCGACGACGGGUAGCCGGGCUGAGAGGGUGACCGGUCAUACUGGGACUGAGAUACGGCCAAGACUCCUACGGGAGGCAGCAGUGGGGAAUAUUGCACAAUGGGCGCAAGCCUGAUGCAGCGACGCCGCGUGAGGGAUGACGGCCUUCGGGUUGUAAACCUCUUUCAGCUAUGACGAAGCGCAAGUGACGGUAGUAGCAGAAGAAGGACCGGCCAACUACGUGCCAGCCGCCGCAGUAA